AUGAGGAAGGCAGGACGGAUGAAGACACAUGUCUUCGAGUUAGGGAUUGAAGCAAUCAUGUACAACAGACAUGUGGGGUCCAAGAAAAUAAUCAUGCCUGUUAGGUUUUCGACUUGGCUUCAAAGGCUCGAUCUAGAUGUGAGGGAGCUGCAUGAUAGGUUCAGAAAAUCAAACCGUUUGGAUGAGCAAGACAUGGUUAUGAUUCCUGUGCUUGAAAAUUUAGACCCAGAGAACACCAAUGGUGCACACCACUACUGGGUACUCAACAUCAAUCUGAGGGACAAAAGGUCCGAAGUGUUUGACUCAUGGAGGAUGUUAAAAAAAAGCAAGAGGCUGGAUGAUGUUGCAAGGGCUAUUGUAGCUGCAGUUCGUGUGUUGUGGGACAAGUACUAUCCAAAACAAGCAAAGACAAUGGACCAGUUCCCGCUUGUGGAUAUCGAUGCACCAAAGCAGACUGUAUCCGGUGACUGUAACAUAUUCGCAUUGAUGAACGCGUUAUUGUGGAACGGGACGUGGCUCCCGAACUAUGGACAAAGCGACAUACCAAACAUCAGGAAGAAGAUGACCAUCUCCAUGCUGAAGUGUGACCUGAACAAGAUUCCAUGGCAGGAGAUCCUCAAACCGGCCAACAAGUGA
rnacentral:rRNA from 1 species